AACGCACGAGACCUGCGGACCUGCGGAGGGAUCAUUAGUGAACGCCCUCACGGGCUUAUAACUAUUCCAAACCUCUGUGAACCGUGCCCUUCGGGGCCAUUUUACAAACAUGGUGUAAUGAACGUCAUAUAUCAUAACAAAACAAAACUUUCAACAACGGAUCUCU
rnacentral:misc_RNA from 1 species